AGAAAGUUUUUAUUAGAAGUUAUAUUUCUGCUAAAAUAAAUAGUUACAUUUUCUUCAGCAAAACAUUAGGGGAAAAAAAGGGGAAGAAAAAAAAAGGCAUUAACACUUUAAUACUGAACUUUUAAAGUGACUGUGAACACUACUUAAUGACAUUGCUGAGUAAAUACAAAACUUGCGUAUGCUAUUGCUGGUCUAGUUGCUGCUCUGACAUCAGUAAUCUCCACAGGAUCUCUACGUGCAUUGUGUGUUUAAGGCUCUGCUCCCACUCAGUGACAGCAGUGGAGCCUCAGGACACAUUGAGCUCAAAGAGCUGCUUUAGAUGCUGGUUUCAAGAGCAAGAGAAAACCCAGAAGGAAGAGGUAUUUAUUUCAAAGUUACAUUUCCAAGUCCUCUGUUUGGAACUAGGUUUCCCCUCCCUGCACAGAAGGGCUGAUGUGGAUCUACACAGUGAGAUGGAUGCAGUUAGAGACCGUCCUGGUGGAGCUGCCUGCAGACUGGAACCAGAGCAAUGUCCCACUGGUACAUGCAAGGGGAAGGAGGGAGAGGAGAGGGGAGCAAGCACUGCUGCAGUCAGAGGGGCAGCCACCACAGGGACACAGAGGGCAGGCAGGCCAGAACCCACUGUGAAGGCACAGGGUGUUUGGCACGAGCAACCCAGCUGAUGUGGCAGCCAGGUGAGGUGGUCUGUUCCCUCACUGAUUUAAGGAGAAGAUGGAAAAAGAAAACCGUUGGCAAUGCCCUCCAACUUUGGCAACACUCAGCCCUGCCACCCACCACAUCUAGCGUGUGUUUAGCAGAAACGGACCCCUAAGGGAAACACACACACUGAGCUUCAGGUAUUUCUCCCACCAGCACUGGCAAAAGUGAGAGCUCUUCUCUCAGAGGAAGGAGUGAAUUACUAGAUUCAUUUUUAAAAGUGGACAAACCACUGGUGAAUACACAGUGAGUGCUAGGGACACCCCAGUGCUGGCAGACAGCAGAUUGCCUUUUAUCCUCUGGUCCAAGUGUUGCAGGUACGCAGCCCUCCAGAAAGUCACGAGAAAACACCUCCUAGGUCCUAUAGGUAGUGGUCAGAAGUGAAGUAUUUUCUCCUACCCUUUGAAAAUCAGCUUGCAACAAUAUUAGCAGUAGGGCAGGCAGCAAACCAAACCCAACAUACCACACACUCCUGUGGCUUACGGAGCAUGCCAUAGAUAUGGACCAUUGCACGCAACAUAAAACAACUCUACAGCGUUGUUCAGGUUAGGGGCUAGUUAGAUGCACAAGAAGUUCACCAUUAGCCUUGUUAAAAGCAGCAAGUAGUACCACAGGAAGGAGAGAAAAAAAAGUGGAUUCCUGAAUGCAAGACCCUCGCAAGGGUUGGGACUCUUGCAGAGUUCAAGUGAAUGCUGUAAGGACAACUGGGCAUGGACUACGAGACGAACUGUUGGUCCAGGAACCUGACCUCUCAACCACCAUAUUCUGGAGAGCAGACAGGCCCUAGCAACUGCCCUCUGGGCUGCCCAGCCACACAUUUUGCUGAAGAAGGGGCCAACUGCUACAGAUUAUUACCUCAUUCCUACGAACUUGACAAAUGGAGGUUAAUCAGCAACUCCUGCCCAGAAGAUAAUAAAUGCCACGACGCACAUGUGGAGCAAGGGCUCAAAGAAUUCCAGUUAUCACAAUAAAGUCCUCCAUAUCCAAUCCAGAGCCUAUCAUGAGGUUUCCAGGGAUUUCAAAGAAGUGAGAUCUGAUCUAGAGGAGGCAGCACAGCAUAGCAAAAAGCUAUUCUUCCAAAGCAGCUGCACCCUUUUUCUGUAUCAGCAGGCAAGAUCUUCCUACUUUCUUCAUCCUUUGCAAUCUGUGAUGAAUGAGCAGCAAGGAUUUCAAGCAAAUACAUGAAACUUCUCCUAAGAAGGAGGACGGUAGGUUUGAGGUAUUUUUGACAGAUCUACAGUUUGACAGUUCCUUUAAGAACUUAUAUCUAUAAAGCCAACAAGCUAUCGCACAACAGUCACUGCAUGACUUGGGGAAUAAACACAAAGAAAGGGUUAACACAGCGUGGUGCUUUCCCAGUAUCCGUUCACACCCUGCAAAUCAGCAUAGGGAAAACAGGAGUUUCCUCCCUGAAGAGUUAGACCUUUAUAUUUAAAGCCAGGCUUUGGUUUGUGGUUACAGUUUAAAGUGCGCAGAAGCUUCCCUUUGAGAGGUCAAUAUAAUUAACAAAACGACAAAUGAGGUGAAGCAGAAAGAAACUCAGGCCUUUUACCAGGCACAGGGUUUAAUCUCUUGAAAUGCAUGGACCAGAACCGGCAAGCCUUCUGGAUCAGAGCAUGGGAAGACAGCGGCACAAGCCCAGUCAGUUCUGAUGCCAAAGGAGAACAGGAGAGAUCCAGGGGAUAAGGGUGCCAAGCUGCAAUUCCUUAGCACGCUCUGUUGCCAGGAGAAUUUUGUUUCAUAGUUUAGUGGUUUACAUAAUCGCUCAGUGGUUUUACCAGUCCAGGAAGAAGGGAUAAAAAAAAAAUAAAAAAUAGUUGCAUCAUUUUCUCCACCCAUACAUUAACACAAACAAGGCAGAGUCAAAAGGGCAGCAGCUUCUAAGCGCAAGAUUUUCCUUUUCCAGCUUUGGCCCUCACAGAUGUUUUGCUUCUGGAUGAAAUGCCUUCAUUUCUUGCCACUAAGCAUCCACAGGUUCUUGCCAGUUGCUCCGUGUGCAUUAGGGACAAGAGAUGCGCAUUUGGCAAAUGAAGCAGCUGUGUAUGUGCCAUUCCCCUAGAGAAGGUAGCCCAGAGAGCAGUGGAAGAAAAGAAAUCCCACACCAAACCACAAAAUAAACACCUUAAUUCCAGUUUUCACCAAAUUCAUCCUGCUCCCAAUAACUGACAGCAGCUUGUUGCUGGUUCACUUCAACUGGAGUUACAUAUAUCUGGCAGUAAGCUUUUUCUGCAGGCUUUAGGCAACCACAAGAUUGACUUGUUUUGUAAUCCAAUAUUCCUAUUCUGGAUUCAGAAUCCUCCAAUUUUUCUCUCUUCCUGUAAUGACUUUUCUGUUCCCUAAAUGCCUUAACUAUGUGAAGCUUAAGACUAAAUCUGACCACGAAGUGCAGGCCCACUUCAUAAGCGAUGCAGGCCCUUGUGUUACAUACGUAGGUUACAUCCAGGAAGGGCAGUGGGGUGAUACUCUAAGUCACAAGUUCAUAGGUGCACCAGCACCUCCUGGACAGUUGGUUAGCACCACAGCUGCCCAGUCUAUUGCCUCCCAGCUUGCAACAGCCACUGCAGAAAAGGCCUGAUGGUUAUCACCACAAACAUUCAAACCAUACCCAGUGCAACUGUGCUGGUAGGAAACAGCACCCCCCACAUCACCCACACUGCUCAUGCAGAUGUGAUUGAGCAGAUUCACUGCCUUCUCCAGCUGUUAGUAGAACUUCUGGGGUUAUUUUUCCUUUCUAAAUCAAAGGUGCAAGAGAGUCCAUUAUAAAUCACUAUUCAUUGUAUAGGCUAUGUAGUCAGCUUCAGGUACCCUGUCCUGCUCCCCAGCAAAGACAGCAUACGUUUGCUUUGGCCAAUUGCAUACUGUUUGUGCUAGGAGAGGUAGAAGAUGCCUCAUGCAGCUAGACAUGCUGCAGAAUAAAAGAGGAAAAAAAGAUGCCAGCAGCUGGUUUUGUGUCAUAGAGCAAUGAUUUAAGCUUAAGUACAUAAAAUCCCCACGGGAAGCCAUGUCUCACCCUGUGAAGAACAGAGUUCAUGUUUCUGCACAGCAAGUCGCAACCAGACCACCACUGAAAAAGGAAUACCUUAAGAAGGCACAGUCCUGCCCUGCUACAGACUCACUAGCUGUGGUCUUUGUCAAGGGACAACACAAAAGUAGCCUGUUCCAAGCAGGCUGCACGUGCACCAACAGUCCUAACUUCACUUCCACUUCUCAUGCUCCUGCUAUUGCUACCUGCAGAGCUGUACCUGUGAGCCACAACAGGAGGCAGGCAAGCUGCGGGGCUGGUAUAGCUACAAGCCUAAAUCCUUCUCACUCCAAAACCUCAAUAUUCAAACUCCUCAAGAAAAAAAAAGAUAAGGUCAAGCCUCCAGUCUGGCAGGAGAUCCCUUCUGUAUCACCCACUUCGAAUUUCCUCCAGUUGUACAGUCCCUUAAGGAGCAAAGCCCAACCCCUGUCAGAGGCAGCCACUUCCCCAGCACUUGCUGUGACACUCUACCACAACCACUCGAAAGUAACAUGCCCUGCACAAUUCUCACCUUCCUACAAGCACCCUGCAUUGCUUCAGCUGUUAAGCUGAUCCUGAAAUAGUCAGGCUGAGCUUUUCCAGAGCAACCCCACACCAAUUCCAUUAACACUGACAGGAAUGGGGCCUUGAAUUUAACAUGUUCCCCUGGAAAAAAAUUCUAUCUAAAUUACUUCUUCAAAUAAGCUCAAUGACUUGCAUAACACUCACAGCUCGAGCUGCAGCAGUUCCAUGAGGACAAAAACACAAAGGGGGAGAUCACAACAACAUAAACCUAAGUAAAUACAUAACUUUUCUACCUUUCCGCAGUCCCGGUGCAGUCUGCAGCAGGGCCAGCUCUGGCUUCCAGUGGGGACACAGUUCAGGGACAGAGGAAAAGAUGUGGCUUCAGCACAGAAGUCAAAAAGAGAUUUGGAAGCCACAAGAAAAAUUGGUUUGGCAAGAGGCUGCUUCAUCUUUCAGUAGCACAAAGAGCUAAGGGAUGUCAGAUGAUUUAAGCAAAACCAAGACUCAUGUUCUAAGAAACAAAGGAAGCUAAAAAUUGUAUGAACUUGAGAGCAUCGCCUACAUCCUGAUUAUUUGGCAGUAAAAAGCCAAAGGCAAUUCAAAGUGCACUAUCUGGGAAAGCCCAGCUGGGUCAGCAUCAACCUGGCCAUGGGCAAUGGCCAGGCCUCAACACAAACCUAAAGCAAGGUAUCAGCCUGUGUGUGUCUUUGAACACAGAGAUCCCUUGCCUGGCCCAGUGGGCAAAAAAUGGCUACAAUCUCCAAAUGGCACCAGUCUCCAUCCCGGGGAAAUCCCCUUUGCAGCAUAUUGAUGAGCACAGGGCAGCCUGCUGCUGAGGGAUGA
rnacentral:lncRNA from 1 species